rnacentral:rRNA from 1 species
AUUGAACGCUGGCGGCAGGCCUAACACAUGCAAGUCGAACGAGUGGCGGACGGGUGAGUAAUGUCUGGGAUACUGCCUGAUGGAGGGGGAUAACUACUGGAAACGGUAGCUAAUACCGCAUACCAUCGGAUGUGCCCAGAUGGGAUUAGCUAGUUGGGUGGGUACAGGCCUACCAAGGCGACGAUCCGUUACUGGUCUGAGAGGAUGACCAGUCACACUGGAACUGAGACACGGUCCAGACUCCUACGGGAGGCAGCAGUGGGGAAUAUUGGACAAUGGGCGAAAGCCGGAUCCAGCCAUGCCGCGUGUGUGAAGAAGGUCUUCGGAUUGUAAAGCACUUUAAGUUGGGAGGCGUUACCAACAGAAUAAGCACCGGCUAACUUCGUGCCAGCAGCCGCGGUAAUUG